AUUGAACGCUGGCGGCAGGCUUAACACAUGCAAGUCGAGCGCGCGGCGGACGGGUGAGUAAUGUCUGGGAAACUGCCUGAUGGAGGGGUAUAACUUCUGGAAACGGUAGCUAAUACCGCAUACCCUCAGAUGUGCCCAGAUGGGAUUAGCUAGUAGGUGGGGUAAUGGCUCACCUAGGCGACGAUCCCUAGCUGGUCUGAGAGGAUGACCAGCCACACUGGGACUGAGACACGGUCCAGACUCCUACGGGAGGCAGCAGUGGGGAAUAUUGCACAAUGGGCGCAAGCCUGAUGCAGCCAUGCCGCGUGUGUGAAGAAGGCCUUCGGGUUGUAAAGCACUUUCAGUGGGGAGGCGUUACCGACAGAAGAAGCACCGGCUAACUCCGUGCCAGCAGCCGCGGUAAUAC
rnacentral:rRNA from 1 species